AACAUCAGAUUAGACACAAGGCCACGAUCUCAGUGAUGGAGUGUAAUAAUCCCACCGUAAUACGAAUCUUUAAUCUCACAGCUGUAAUAUGCUGGGAGACGUUAAUCCAGAUGGAAACACGACACCUCACUUUCAUCUCAGACUCAUUCUGAUUGGCUGAACCAUGUCCUCCAAUCCAACAUGACCUCUGUGUUUAUGGGUAUCUUCCAGAGUUCUUUACUUGCUCCAGUUGAGAAUUUGAUGUCGUGUCUUGAUGUCUUGUGUUUGGUCUUGGUUCAUUUGUUCCUUGAGUCAUCAGAUUCCUUCUCCUGCCUCCAUGUGACAUGUUCCUAGACCUUCCCAACCAAGGGUGGCCAAGAAGCAGGCCGCUGUGAUUCAGCUCACCUUCUACCACUCCCCUGGAUUUGGAUAACUGAUUCUGCCGUAGGCUCUCGGAAGCACAGUAGAGCCCACAUAGGUUAUUACUAAUUUAAUACAAGCCACACAUGGUGCUCAUAAGCAUGGUAUAGAUGGUUUCCAACCAGGUUCCUGGUACGAUGGGUUGGCCUGCUGCGGUUCUCUAGUGGAACUACAAAGCAUCCUUCUCAGGUUUAAUGAACAACGGAGUCUCAGUCCGCAGAUCUGCAUUCAUUUUAUUGAAUAUUGAAUCCCUAACGGUUACAUAAUGACACACACGCACACACACUUACACAGCGAGAGGCUUUACAAUCAACUCAGGUGACACCCUGAAAGCUGGUGUGUCAACGUCACUCAGGAUGAGCCAGGUAUGGCGCGCUGUCACGUUACGACACGAGCUAAUCGAGUCGUCUGAUUGGCUGCCGACAUGAUUGGAUUUGCCCGCUGUCUUGGAAACGGCGUCACUAACGGGGAGGAAGAAAAUGAUCUAAUGCCCUCGACCGAAGAUCCCGACUGUAGCGUUGGCCUGGUCAUUGUAGGAGGAGCACGACUGUUCACUGGUCAGAAGACGGUUGUUCUGACUACACUACAUCAGAAAUACAUUUGCAUACGUCUCCCUUCCUCCAUCCCUGCUAUUCCGAGUCAGGGCUUAGGCUGAUCCCGGUGACUGAGACGGAUAAAUCCGCCAACAUCGAACCAUCAACCUCCCACGCACAGACGUGGACGGAGGAGCAGCAGGUAUUUCCGUCCCUCCAGGCUGAAGAAUAUGGUGGCCAAGAACAUCUGUGGAAUCUGCAGGAUUCCUUAACAGGCCAGUGUGUUCCCUCGUCAUUAAACUUAAAACACUUUUAUAUCAUAAAAAUUAUUUAGAAAAGUAUAAAAUAUAAUAUAAGCUACACAGUUCCAGUCUUUUUGCAGGCUACAAGACAUUAGAACCAGGAUGUGACCGAUUUGUCAACUGAUAACGGUGUGUUAUUUGCAGUGGAUUCUAUUGAGAUCGCCACGUUUGUGAGAUUUCCCAGUUGCCUCGUCUUGGUUACCUUGUGAAUGCCCCUGAGCAGGGCCUUCCGCUGCACGAGAACGUACGAGCGUGAGCGUCCGACCCUGUCUGCACGAAGAGCGGAAUUCCUGACACCGCCGAUUCAUCUCCUGCCCAGCGAGACACAGACAGAAAAACACUGCAGGGUUCAGGAUCACUGGAAACCAACACUGCACCAAUUAGGCUGCGUGUGUGUGUAGAAGUUUGUAUGUGUGUGUGUGUGUAAAAGUGUGUGUGUGUGUGGGUGUGUAGAAGUGUGUGUUUGAAAGAGAGAGAGAGAGAUAUACACAAAGACAGUCCGGGGUGAAGGAAUUUGAACUUUAAUGAGAAAUGUGUCUAAGUUUGAUUGUUUUAUUGGUAAAUGCUGUAAAUGUGAAAUGUAAAAUACUGACAUUUCGCUGUCUGUUUGUAACUAUAGGAAGAAGCGAAGAGAAUGAAAUGCUUUUCAUUUCAUUUCAUUGCUUUGAAGUGCCUUUGAAAAACGUUUCGAAAGUUCUUUUAAAGCAAUGAAAAUGUAGGAUUAUUAAAGACAUUAAGGGGUAUUAAUUUUC
ensembl:lncRNA